GAUGAACGCUGGCGGCGUGCCUAACACAUGCAAGUCGAACGAAAAGACAAUGAGUUUGUGCUCUUGCCGUUAGCGGGGGGCGGGCGGGUAACGCGUGGAUCACUACCUAAUAUGUCGGGGAAAAUUACGGAAAACAGGUGACAAUACUAGCGAAUAUGUUGAACGGCUGGGUGCAUUGGAGAAUCACGGCUUUCGCGAAUGUAUUAGCCGGUUUCGGGCCGGAUUAGCUAGUUGGUAAGGUAACGGCUUACCAAGGCGACGAUGCGUAGCCGGGCUGAGAGGAUGAUCGGCCACACUGGAACUGAGACACGGUCCAGACUCCUACGGGAGGCAGCAGUAGGGAAUAUUCGGCAAUGGGCGAAAGCCUGACGGAGCAACACCGCGUGAGUGAAGAAGGUCUUCGGAUCGUAAAGCUCUGUUGUUGGGGAAGAACAGCUGUGGAAGUAAACAUGGCCGUCUUGACGGUACCUAAUCAAAAAGCACCGGCUAACUACGUG
rnacentral:rRNA from 1 species